UGCUGGGCCUAGCACUAAGAUGAUGUGAGUCCUCUGCCUGAAUCCUGACUACAGGGAGCAUUGUGACAUAUUUCUUCACCCAUUACAAUCUCUCCUAUAGACCAAGCUCAGGCUCCGCAUAUUUGGGUAUUGUGACAUAUUGCUGAACUCAACACCUAAGGGAUGAGAGUCUCCUACCUGUGCCCUUCCUAUAGGGGACAUUGUGACAUGUCUCUGCAUUCCUCACCUAGGAGAUGUGACUCUCAUCUUCUGCUUGCACCCUGCC
rnacentral:lncRNA from 1 species